UUGGCUGCUGUACCCACACCUUAUGGAUGUUGGGCAGUGGGUGAUGGGUGUGGUGUCCACA
rnacentral:miRNA from 1 species